AGUGCGCUGGCUGCGGCCCGACUUUUGUGGCGAAGCGGGGCUGCUAUCGAUAGAAAGCUGCAGGUUGGGCGGCGACCUGUAAGAAAACAAAGGUUUUAGCGCGUUACACGUCCCACCAGCUCGAGUCGGCGUGGCGUGGCGCGGGGCCGAGCCGUCACCUGUGGCGGGGCUGAGGGAAGAGCAGGCUGGGGGUGCAGUGAGGCUUCGCCCUGGAAGUGCUGUUGGAAGUUUGCUUCCGGUGUGUUUAGGUACAUUCGUCCUUAUGAAGGCGCUUUUGAACUUUGAAGUGAUGCUUUCCAGGCACGAAUGAAGCGAAGCAAGCACCUCUAGGGACACCAAAGAAGAUACUGCAGUUGGCGGUGGAUAUCAAACGGAGGAAACUGUAGCAGAGGCUAAUAGGCAAUGUAAGAAGGUAGGUGCAUCCAGAUACUGGCAGCCUUGUACAGUGAAAGAACUUUUUGUGGAUUUCGAGCAUUUUGAAAGAUACUUCUGUAAAACAACAUUCAACUGUGUCUUUCUCUCCACAUCCCACACCCCCGGCCCAUGGCGAAGACCUGGCAUUUUUUUCUAAAGGAGACAGAUCAUAAAGCUGUUCAAUACCCAGUCAGUCCUUAUACCUGAGAAUAACAAGAAAAAGGAAUGAUUUUGCUGUGCAGUACCAGUGAGUAACAGGAUCACUGUGAGAUACAACUGAUGAAGAAUACAUCAUGCAUAUAAACACUUACAGGACUGAAUGUUAGCAACUGAAAUAUUGAUAAAAUAAUGCUGGAAUGUAAUGUCAGAAACAGUGAAAAAGAUGGAGCCUCACAUCACUGCCACAGAAUGCUGCAGAAUAUAAUUAUUCAAACAAUGAUGUGAUUUUUUCUUUCCAUGAAAAAUUAUACAAUGACAAUAAAUAAAAUUAAACUCAUCAACACAUAAGUGGGAAGCUAUAACAACCCUUUCUAUGCUGGGGUAUAAGUGAUUAAAAGAAAAUAACGUAGCUAGAAAGUGACUAUUAAAACUGCACCUGGCAUUAGAUGCAAAAAUGGUCUAAAAGAAUAUGGAAUAUUUUACACUUUCCAAGUUUCCCUUGCUCCAGUGCAUUCCUUUUACAUAAAUAAUACUCAUCAGCUAUGUACGUCUACAAAGAGAGUGUAUAAUCAAUUCUUGCGGUCCAAAACCUACAUUAAUACCUCUUGCAUCUGUGUACCUGUAGACCUUGAAAGUCGAAUUCUUGAAAUCAAGCCCUGGCUAACCAGAAACAGUGGGCUAGAGCUCAAAACCUGAGCCUCAUCAUACUGCAUCAUUGGGUAUGGAUGGGGAAAAGUAGCUGAGAUGCAAAUUACCAAUUAGAAUAGCUAAUUGUGCUAUGCUUAUGAGAAAGUCAAACCAAAAAACCAAAGUGUGUCUCUGCAUACCUUGAUCAACCCUCUAAAUUGUUUGAUCUUCUAAUUUAGCUUUGAGAAAUGAUGACAACUCUUGUAAUUCUUUUCAGUCUGCUUAUUUCUAGCUUUUCAGCAAAUGACAAGCAUUUCAUUUAUCUCCUAUGCAAAGCAGAACCAAAAUUUGCAACAUCUAUGU